CGAAUUAGUAUCUGCAUAUUAGAGGAAACAUUCGCCUUUGGUUUUGGGGAUAUUUGCAGCUUUCUUAUUUUCAUUUGUUUUAUUUAUUUAUUUUUUUUUUAGAUUUUUUUUUAAAUUUUUUUUAUUGGUUGUUCAAAACAUUAUAAAGCUCUUGACAUAUCAUAUUUCAUACAUUAGAUUCAAGUUGGUUAUGAACUCCCAAUUUUACCCCUAAUACAGAUUGCAGAAUCACAUCGGUUACACAUCCACAUUUUUACAUAAUGCCAUAUUAGUAACUGUUGUAUUCUGCUACCUUUCCUAUCCUCUACCAUCCCCCCUCCCUCCCCUCCCAUCUUCUCUCUCUACCCCAUCCACUGUAAUUUGUUUUAAAUGGAAACUUAUAAGUAAGGCGAAAAUAUUCCACCUAGGGUCAUCUCAAUAUUUUAGUAAUGUUGUUUAGUACCUUUUUUUUUUUUUUUUUUGAGUGUAUGUUGUGGUACCAAAUACUAUUUUCAUGCAUUAUCAUUCAGUCAUAAUAAAAAGAAAUGUGUAUUACAUUCUUAGAAGUAAGAUGGUACCCAGAGAGAUUAACUUCCCAAGUUCACAUAUUUGGUUACUGGUGAAGCUGAAAUUGAAACUGAUGGUAGGUCCUGUGCUUGGGAUCCUUAGUAAUUAUGAUUACUUCAAUAGUAGAGUGUAUUGUAGAGAAGACCUGGAAUAAAAUUAAACUGGAUUCUGAGCCUGCAUUACACAUAAGGUGGUCUGAAUAAUUGUUGAACUCUUCAACCUUUUCUUUAAAGAGACAUUGGCUGAAGCAACACUCAUUUUAUUUGUUUUAUUCAUUUACCACUUAUUAAGCACCUGAUACUAUGUUGGAUAUUAGGAAUUUAAAAGCAAGUAAGACUCAGUUCCAUUUCUUUAAGACAACCUAGUAUAGAGACCUUAGAUGUCAAAAACAAUAUGAGGCAAAAAUGGGAAUUUAUACUCCCUGUAGAUAUGAAAUGUCAAAAUACAUACUACUGUCACGUUAACUAAAACGAACAGAUAAAAAAUAGCGUGAGGUAGAAGUUGCAUAGGGCAGUCUGGGAACAUAGGUCAGAAAAGACUGGAAGAGAAGGUAAGGUAAAUGAAUAUAAACUAGGAGUUAACUGAACGUGAGACUGCAUAGGAGACAGGAAAUAAGUCCCAGAGAUAUUAGAAUAAGAUCCCAAUUGGUGGGCUUUAUAGGAAAUGAAAACCUUUCCUGGAAUUUCAAGUAUGGAACUAGUUCAGCUAUCCCUGAGGUUAAACAUCUUUAAGAAGUGUUUUUGUUGUUGUUGUUGUUUGUUUUUCUGUAAGUGUGGAGCUAGGGAUAGAGAAUAAGGACAAAUAGCCAUGGAACUCAGUGGUAACAGGACACAUCUUAACUGGGUUGCUGUAGGAACUGAUCCUUAAUCAUCUCAGUGUGGCCUGUAGAGGAGACUAAUUUUCUUAGUGGUAUCCCUAAAUUAUCCAGAAAUAUCCAGAUUUAAAUUUUCAUCAUUGGAGGAGAGGGACCCAAGAGAAUCAUUUUGGAAGAAGUACAAGAAAGACACUAGCUACAUGACAGAGUCUGUGUUUGGGAGCUUAGAUGUUGGAAAUGGCUGGGUCCAAGGAAAUGUUUUUCUUUAUAUGUCCCCUAUAGAAGCACUGCCUGGCGAUUGUGGAAGCAACCAGUUUUGGCUUACAAGUUGGAAUUCCAGAGGUGCUUCCAGAAAAUCUUAUUUACUAAUAUGAGCCUUCAGUAAAAUCUUUGGGCAAAGGGUUGGAAAAAGCUGUUUGACAAGUUGGGGGCAUUGCUGACUCCAGAAAAUAUGCAGCGAAGACUUUCUAUACCUGAAGGAAUGUUGCAGAAAGAACAGAAAAAGUGCACAAGCAGGAGAUGGGAAGAAGUGUUGCUAAUGGACAAAUGACUAACCUUCUCACUGUGGCCCAGAAACAGGAAACAUAUUUCCUUUUUUUUUUUUUUCUUUUUUUCUUUCUCACUUUCCAGGUGGAUGACCUCAAAUUCUAUCAUUUAUGUUGCAAUUGGUGCGAAAAAAGUGAAAAAAAGGAGUGAGAACCAUGAGGUGUCUGAAACUAGGUAGAAAAAAGCCUGGGUUGUGAAAGUUGAAACAUUUAUUAUAAUUCUAUUCAGACAAUUGAAAAUAAUGUUGCUUUUAUACUUUUAAAGAUAAUUUAGUAAGUUUUGCUGCCAGGGUAUCAUCAGUGUUUUAUUAUGAGGGAAGGUAAAAAUGUAUGCAAUUCCUGAGUGAAGAAACUCAGGAAUUAUUUAAAAUGCCCAGAGCCAUGGGUUUUCUAACCCCAAAAUAUCCACAUGAUGUGUCUUAUGAAUUCUCAGUUUUUAUGAGAAAAAGAUGUGAAAUCAAAACACACACUUAUGGGUUCACUAGAUGGAUUCUAUCACGAUUUUAAUUCUGUACUUUUAAGGACAACAUUAACAGGAUUUCUUGCCUUUGAUAAUACCACCAACAUAAAAGAAAUACAUUUGUAUUUUGUUUGUAUGAAAAUUCAAAGGCAAUAAUUUGGGUUUUAAAAUCUAUAAUUUUAAAUUAGAAGUAAGGGAUUCCUUUGAAGAAAACUGGACUGAUCAAACCAUUUAAUUUUAUUAGGAUUUUUAAGCUUUGAAACUGACAUGCAUAUGAAAUAAACAGUGCCAAUAUUCAUGGUAUAGUGAAAAAUAGUUAAUAUUUGGUUUUAUUUAUCCUAUUAGCAGUUUUUAAAUGCAUACUACUAGUUUUUUUAUUUUUACUUAUUUUUUCCCAAAAUUGUUUAAUUCUUCAGUGGUCAUUUAAGAUGAAAAUAGGGAUUAAAAUUAGUUGUUUUUGUAUGAAAAGUGUGUGAUUUACAAGUUUAAAUUAUUCCCCCCUUUUUUUAAACAGAUGGAAUUAAGUUUGUCUUCCAUAAAUCUCAAUUUUCAGCUUCUUGACUAUGUUAACUGUAACUGUCAGUGUUGCACUGAUCAAUCAGCAUGUGGAAACACAUUGUUCUACUCUGCCAAUUAAACAUUUCUUUGAAAGUGAACUACAUUAAUGAGGAAUUUAUUAAAAAUUUAGGGGCUGGGAUUGUGGCUCAGCGGUAAAGUACUUGCCUAGCACCGGUGGGACCCGGGUUCAAUCCUCAGCACCACAUAAAAAUAAAGGCAUUGUGUUGAGUCCAUCUACA
rnacentral:lncRNA from 1 species